GACAUCUGAUAGCAAUAACUGGUUUAACAGAAUGUCCUGUGAGCAGUUACGAAAAGAAAGUCUGAAGUUCUUGCGUUAAACCAUGCACUGAUGACCCUGGACGAUAUGAAAAUGGCUGUAACAAACAAUGGAUAGGGGACACAUUUUGCCGUCCAGAAUUCUAUGGAAAUGAUUGCAACCAACACUGUGGGAAAUGUAAAUCAGGAACAGUUUGUCACAAUGAUACUGGACUCUGUCCACAAGGAUGCCAGGGACAUUGGAAUGGUUCCAGAUGUGAUGUUUGCAGGUCAGGAUUCUAUGGAGGUGAUUGCAACCAGCAAUGUGGGAAAUGUAAAUCAGGAACUGUUUGUAACAAUGCCAACGGAAACUGCACACAGGGGUGUCAGGAGAAUUGAUAUGGUAUCAGAUGUGAUGGUAAUACUAAAAUUCUCUUAGCAUCAACAAAAGAUGUAGAUAACGAACAGUGAUCAAUAUUAUAGCUCAUAUCACCAAUACAAAAUAGAUAAUUGGGCAAACACGGAUCCCUGUACACAGCAGAGGUGGGAUCAGGUGCCUAGGAGGAGUAAGUAUCCCCUGUUGAACAGUCACACCAAUUACUACUCCUAUAUCAGGUAAACGGGGUCAAAAUCAGUGUUCCAAGAACGGUCUAACAAUCGGCAUCAAACACGCCAGGCAGCAUUUGGCCCCAUGCUAGGUUGUAUAGACGAAAUAGACCGUUGUAACGACCAUGACAUUUGCCAAAUGCUGACUUCAAUCGAGACUGUUGGAACUCCUCUACCAUCAGCUUGUUUGUCAGUAGCUUGUCUAUACUUAAAAUCUAGCACUAAGGGGAUCAACGACACGAGCAAUAACAGCCAGUUAUCCGUGCUUUCACCGUUCACUUUCUGUGCGCUUAUUGUUCGGAGUUUUGCGUUCAUCCUGCACCCAACGUACAAUUAACGUUCGUUUACCAUUCGUCUUUUGGCUUUUUUUAUUAUCAUUCGGAACACCAAAGUGAAAGGAUCGAUUUUGAUAGAGAGGUGGACAUGAAAAUUAACUCGUGCACAACAAAAGAAAGGAAUUUUCUUAUUUCAUCAGAAAUAUUAUAGUAAAGCAGAACAUGUCGGGAUUACCAAGUGUCAAAAUUCAAGGAAAAUCCCAGUCAACUCAUCAAGUGUUACACUAAUGAACAUGUAUGCCUAUAUGUCACUUUAAACUAGUUUGACGGGGAUUUUACACCUAUAUCUAUGAAAGACACUCUGAAGAAACGUAUUUACUGCUUUCGUCAAAUUUUACAAUUUUGUAUCGUUUGUCUCUCAUAGAAAU